AUGAGAUCAACAAUACUUAACAUUUUUUUUUACUUAUGUUUUAUAUAUAUUAUAAAGUCUUAUGUAUACAAAAAGAGCCCAAUAAUUGUAAUAAAUCGUAAAUGGCUAUAUGGAACAAAUAGAGAUAAAACAAACCUUAAAAUAAAUGAUAUAAUUAAUUUUAAAAACAAAAAGGAACUAAAAAAGGAAAUUGUGGCGCACUCCAAAAAAUUGUCCUUAGAUUUAAAUAAUAAGCAACUAAACAAAAUUGGAAAUAAUUUAUUUGAGUUUUUUUCUUAUAUAAAGUUAAUGGAUAUGAAAAUAAAUUUUAAGAAAAAGAAAAUUAAACGCAAGAUAAAAUUAUUACCACUGUGUGAGAAGCAAAAUAAAUACAAAAAGUUUCAUACACAGAACAUGAAGAAAGAGGGCAAUUAUUUUAUUACUUUUAUGAGUAGCUAUAUACACUGAGUACUAUUAUAUCUUAUAAAAUAUUAUUUGUUAUAUUAAUUUUUGACCUAAAAAAAAACAAUUACAAAAAUAUAAGGAUAAACAUAAAAAACGAAUGGCAGAUAAUCAACUGUUUGUAUGGUAUGUUGUUUAUAAAGUUAGGCUAUAAAAAUAAACAUACAUAUAUAUAUAUAUAUAUAUAUAGA
rnacentral:lncRNA from 1 species